CUCGCGGAGAGGGACCAGCCCACAGAGGGCGCCCAGCGGAAGAGGCCCAGAGAGCCCGGGCGCUGGGGGCAAGUCUAGGGGAAGGUACUGAAUGCCAGAUGAACAGGGCGGAUGGCAUUGACCCCGGGAGAAGCACCAGCAGUAGACUUGCAGAUGUGUCAUCUAUUUGAUCAUAGAAAAAGCUCAAG
rnacentral:lncRNA from 1 species